CAAGUCGAGCGAGAAGUUUCCUUCGGGAAGCGGAAAGCGGCGAAAGGGAGAGUAACGCGUAGAUAUCUGCCCUCAGGUCUGGGAUACCCACCGGAAACGGUGAUUAAUACCGGAUAAUGUCUCAGGACCAAAGAUUUAUUGCCUGAGGAGGAGUCUGCGUCCUACUAGCUAGUUGGUGUGGUAAUGGCGCACCAAGGCUAAGAUGGGUAGCGGGCGUGAGAGCGUGGCCCGUCUCACUGGGACUGAGAUACUGCCCAGACAUCUACGGAUGGCUGCAGUCGAGAAUUUUCGGCAAUGGACGAAAGUCUGACCGAGCAAUGCCGCGUGCGGGACGAAGGCCUUCGGGUCGUAAACCGCUGUCAGAGGGAAGGAAAUUUUGACCAAACCUCAAAGGAAGCACAGGCUAAAUUCGUGCCAGCAGCCGCGGUAAUACGAAUUGUGCAAACGUUAUUCGGAAUCACUGGGCUUAAAGGGUGCGUAGGCGGCCAUGAAGGUCUGAUGUGAAAUCCCACGGCUCAACCGUGGAAUUGCGUUGGAAACCACAUGGCUUGAGGAAGACAGAGGUGAGCGGAACUAAUGGUGGAGCGGUGAAAUGUGUUGAUAUCAUUAGGAACACCGGUGGCGAAAGCGGCCCGCUGGGUCUUUUCUGACGCUGAGGCACGAAAGCUAGGGUAGCAAACGGGAUUAGAUACCCCGGUAGUCCUAGCCGUAAACGAUGAGCACUAGACUGAGGAGACCCCCACAUCUUCUCGGUCGUAGCGAAAGUGUUAAGUGCUCCGCCUGGGGAGUAUGGCCGCAAGGCUGAAACUCAAAGGAAUUGACGG
rnacentral:rRNA from 1 species